ensembl:lncRNA
AUUAACUGACAGCAAUGUCUAUUUAUGGACCACGUAACCCUGCUAUUAUGGAAAGCAAGUGAGACAAUUUGUUUAAUAUUGUGUGCAGAGAGAUGGAACGAGUUUUUCCACCUACAGCCAUGACAUCAUUGGUCUAAUACUGAAAGCAAGAAGUGGAUGAGGACAUAAUUCCACCAUAAGAAGGGCAGAAAGACAUAUGCAAGUCACUGAAACCCACAAGGGACGUCACCACCAUCCACAGGCUUUGUCGUGACGAUAGAUUAACCCCAAAACAAAACAUGGUUCCAUUGACUUACAUUCAAAGAUUAUGGAUUCUACUCAUUCUGGAGAGUCUUCCUUACAGCUGGAAGUCCCCAAAUAAAAGCUGCUCAGCUAUUUAUUAC